GAAAAGGCAUUUGUCUCUGCAGCAGAUAGUAUGUGACACUUCAUCUAAAAUUCUCUUCAUGUACUAUCAAGCAAAUUCACACCCCAUGUUAUUCAGCAUGACCUCGAUUUCAAAGACAAACAUUUGAGAAAUUAUGGAGACUGAGCAAAGAGCUGUUCAGUUGGAUUGUCCUGCUCAACUCUUCAGGAAUUUUUGAAGGGAUUUUUUUGGUUUCUGAAACUCAUUUAAAGAUUUGCUGCAAACCACACCACAGUGGGGAUCUCAUGAACUUCAAGCCCUGUGAUUAUAAAUGCUUCCAGGAGUUAAUGUCGCUAACCAGUGUUUUUAGGCUUGAUCAUCUAAAUUCUCACUUAUGCCACUGAGAGCUUGAAUGAAUGCAGCCACGAUACAGACACAGUCCUCCAGCGAAGCAGGCAGAACACAGUAAGGGCAAACAGUCCCGAGAAAGGAAGGGAGGGAAGAAUGUGGGGCAAAGUUGCUGUAUAAUGCUGCCUGGAACAUCAGAUUCCCAUCUGGAAGUUCAAGAUGGUGGAAGAUGUUUAUGCCAGAGGUAAAAGGAUAAAGAUGGCAGAUUACAUAUGAAUCCUCAGCAGUGUGAGUGCUGUAUUUGAGUCAUUCUUGGACCUGGCUAUCCCAUCUUACAAAAACAUCUGAUUUGGGAUAUAACAAAGCUCUAUAGCCAGAUGAGUCACACUCAUUGCCAUCCACAACAGCACUCUCCAAGGCCUGUGAAACAAUAAUGCUUUUAUAUGAUUUCCAUCAUGGAAUUUGCCACUGGACGUACAAGCGCUACACCCGCAUGUUUACAAAAUAACCUAAUUCGCAGGUUCCUUUGUUUAGGCAAGAAGGUGGUGUCUGACACGAAGACGCUCCAUUACAACACAGACAAGGUAUCAAAGCUGGAUUUAAAUAAAUACAUGUCAAGCUGUGACAGACAUGAUUCAGUAAAGCACUAAAUUCACCAGUUUAAGACUGACAAUUGUCUUUGAGUUCCACUAUUCCCACUCAUUUAGGGCUUGAGAGUAGGAGGAAUGAACAGACAGUAGAGCUUCAUUGCUGUCUACUUUCCAUUUAGAUUUCCACCUCCCAUUGGGUAGAACAGAAGAAUAAAGACAUACAGUUUUG
ensembl:lncRNA